GUCCUUGGCAAAUGAUGUUUACCCUCGUCGACAUUGUUAGGGCAGCGCCGGCACCUCAUUCUUCCGUCGGCAGGCAAAGGUUCGUCCUUGUUGAUGGCCACUCGGGUGAUAGUACGUAUCGGCGAUGGGCAUUUAGACUUCAAUUUCUAUUGAUGUUUGGACGAUGGAAUCUUGAAGGAGGAAGAGUUUGACCCGCUUCAUUUUUCAAGAGUUUCGGUAAAUAGAGAAGAUGGAGAUAAACGAUUAAUCUCUAAAUCCGAUGUGGCCAGGCUGUUCAAACUAAAGGGACUAAGGUGUGGAUAAUGUUGAGACCUAAGACCUGGAAUGAAAGUAGCUGCAAAUGUCAUCUUGAAUUUCUGAAGGUUGUUUUGAUGUCUGACUGGUGUGGCCUGAACUGAAACGGAUGUGACACUUCGUUCUUUCGAAGUUUCCAGUUAAUUGGAAAUGAUGAAAUAGAUUAUUGACUAAAAGCUUCAGCCUUGGCCAGUUUUGGUGGAGCUGGGGUUGCAAUGCUACCAUGGAGUUCAAUUGGGAUUCUUGAAACUGUCGUGGAUGAGAUUUAUAAUGUACUAUACUCUUAAAAUAAUGGCAAAUGUCCUUAUCCCUACUCUUUUCCAUGGUUAGUGUUUCAUGACUCUAAAGGUAAAAAUUGUGCUAGGAAACUUUAAGCUAGUGGCUUGCAUUCCAAAAAGGCCAAUAUUGGCUAAAGUAAAGGUUUUGGUAAGGCUUAAAAAGACCACAAAGAAUCUGAACUAGAGUACUUGAGUACUUGACGGGCGUUUAUCUAAGGUUACUGUAACUGUUGAUUGUAGUGUUCUUCAGGCCCAGAGGAAAUCGCUAGAAAAAGAAAUUGUCCUUGGCUAUUAACUAAAAAGAAUGUAUAGAGUAAAUUUUAAUUCUCCUAGA